ACUCCUACGGGAGGCAGCAGUGGGGAAUAUUGCACAAUGGGCGCAAGCCUGAUGCAGCCAUGCCGCGUGUGUGAAGAAGGCCUUCGGGUUGUAAAGCACUUUCAGUUGUGAGGAAGGUGGUGUCGUUAAUAGCGGCAUCAUUUGACGUUAGCAACAGAAGAAGCACCGGCUAACUCCGUGCCAGCAGCCGCGGUAAUACGGAGGGUGCGAGCGUUAAUCGGAAUUACUGGGCGUAAAGCGCAUGCAGGUGGUUUGUUAAGUCAGAUGUGAAAGCCCGGGGCUCAACCUCGGAACUGCAUUUGAAACUGGCAGACUAGAGUACUGUAGAGGGGGGUAGAAUUUCAGGUGUAGCGGUGAAAUGCGUAGAGAUCUGAAGGAAUACCGGUGGCGAAGGCGGCCCCCUGGACAGAUACUGACACUCAGAUGCGAAAGCGUGGGGAGCAAACAGGAUUAG
rnacentral:rRNA from 1 species